rnacentral:rRNA from 1 species
CCUUGUACACACCGCCCGUCGCACCNCGAAAGUGGGCAACACCCGAAGCCGGUGAUCCAACCUCUGGAGGAAGCCGUCGAAGGUGGGCUCAUGAGUUGGGGUG